rnacentral:rRNA from 1 species
AUGAACGCUGGCGGCGUGCCUAAUACAUGCAAGUCGAGCGAACAGAUAAGGAGCUUGCUCCUUUGACGUUAGCGGCGGACGGGUGAGUAACACGUGGGUAACCUACCUAUAAGACUGGAAUAACUCCGGGAAACCGGGGCUAAUGCCGGAUAACAUUUAGAACCGCAUGGUUCUAAAGUGAAAGAUGGUUUUGCUAUCACUUAUAGAUGGACCCGCGCCGUAUUAGCUAGUUGGUAAGGUAACGGCUUACCAAGGCAACGAUACGUAGCCGACCUGAGAGGGGGAUCGGCCCCACUGGAACUGAGACCCGGUCCCGACUCCUACCGGAGGGCGCCGUUGGGAAUCUUCCGGAAUGGGCCAAAGCCUUACGGAGCAACGCCGCGUGAGUGAUGAAGGUUUUCCGAUCCUAAAACUCUGUUAUUAGGGAAGAACAAAUGUGUAAGGAACUGUGCCCGUUUUGACGGUAACUAAUCAGAAAGCCCCGGCUAACUACGUG